rnacentral:rRNA from 1 species
AUUGAACGCUGGCGGCAGGCCUAACACAUGCAAGUCGAGCGGAGCGGCGGACGGGUGAGUAAUGCCUAGGUAUCUGCAUGGGAGUGGUGGAUAACUUCCGGAAACGGGAGCUAAUACCGCAUCCUAUCAGAUGAGCCUAGGUCGGAUUGGCUUGUUGGUGGGGUAAAGGCCUACCAAGGCGACGAUCCGUAACUGGGCUGAGAGGAUGAUCAGUCACACUGGAACGGAGACACGGUCCAGACUCCGACGGGAGGCAGCAGUGGGGAAUAUUGGACAAUGGGCGAAAGCCUGAUCCAGCCAUGCCGCGUGUGUGAAGAAGGUCUUCGGAUUGUAAAGCACUUUAAGUUGGGAGGCGUUACCAACAGAAUAAGCACCGGCUAACUCCGUGCCAGCCGCCGCGGUAAUUC